CACAAUCAAAAGUUAUUAGACAAAGUAAGGAUGAUAUAUUCCUAGGUUAACAAAAGACACAGUUUUUCGUCAUCAAAGUUUUGAUAAUUUUCAUCUUAUUAUUCAUUGAGAGAGUUGAUCUAUGGGGAUGCCACUGUCUUGUAGGUAUGUAAAUUGCCACUCAUGUUCACCCAGGGCCACUGAACCACGAAUGAGGAAUUCAACUUCAGAUGUCUUUGCAAAAUUAAAGGUCAUAAAAAUGACAAGUUCACUUUAAC